rnacentral:rRNA from 1 species
GUGGAUCCCUUGGCUUGUGGGUCGAUGAAAAUCGCCGCAAAGUGCGAGAAGUCAUGUGAACUGCAGGAUCAUGAACAUCGACAGAUUGAACGCAAAUGGCGGCCCUCGUCCCGUACUUGGGCCACACCUGGCAGAGGGUCGG